rnacentral:rRNA from 1 species
AGAGUUUGAUUAUGGCUCAGGACGAACGCUGGCGGCGUGCUUAACACAUGCAAGUCGAACGAACCAAUGGAGCUUGCUUCAUUGGCUAGUGGCGGACGGGUGGGUAACGCGUGAGCAAUCUGCCUAUAACUGGGGAAUAACACAUAGAAAUGUGUGCUAAUACCGCAUAAGACCACAAGAACGACAUCGUUCAGGGGUAAAAGAUUUAUCGGUUAUAGAUGAGCUCGCGUUCUAUUAGAUAGUUGGUGAUGUAACGGACCACCAAGUCUACGAUAGAUAGCCGACCUGAGAGGGUGAUCGGCCACACUGGAACUGAGAAACGGUCCAGACUCCUACGGGAGGCAGCAGUGGGGAAUAUUGGGCAAUGGAGGCAACUCUGAACCCCCAGCAACGCCGCGUGAAUGAUGAAGGUCUUCGGAUUGUAAAGUUCUGUGAUGGGGGACGAAGAAAGUGACGGUACCCCAAGAGCAAGCCACGGCUAACUACGUGCCAGCAGCGGC